rnacentral:tRNA from 1 species
GGGCCCGUAGCUUAGCCUGGUGGAGCGCUGAUCAACAAGGAUGCGUUUCCGUUGAGUGAAAGUCUUAUAAGAAGACUAAGCUAAUAUGUCUCUAAGUGAGCCAGAAGUCGUGAGUUCAAAUCUCAUCGGGCCCA